CACGUAGGGCGCAAGCGUUGUCCGGAAUUAUUGGGCGUAAAGAGCUCGUAGGUGGUUUGCUGCGUCCGCUGUGAAAACCCAAGGCUUAACCUUGGGCUUGCAGUGGAUACGGGCAGACUGGAGUUCGGCAGGGGAGACUGGAAUUCCUGGUGUAGCGGUGAAAUGCGCAGAUAUCAGGAGGAACACCGGUGGCGAAGGCGGGUCUCUGGGCCGAUACUGACGCUGAGGAGCGAAAGCGUGGGGAGCGAACAGG
rnacentral:rRNA from 1 species